UUUUUUUUUUUUCAUUGAAAACACCGGUUCUCGUCCAAUCACCGAAGUUAAGCAAUGUCGGGCCUGGUCAGUACUUGGGAGGGUGACCACCUGGGAACACCGGGUGCUGUAGGCU